UUUCCCCCUCGAGUGCCCGCCGUGGCGGCGGCGGCGGGGCCGUCUCUCCCGCGCCCGGCGAUGGCCGGCGGCGGCGGUGGAGGGAUGGCCCCGCCGGCGCACGGCCGCGGCAGCCCCCUCCCCUUUCUUUUCUAGCCUCCCCCCAUUCUCCCUCCGAGCCUCCCGAAAAAUCGAGAUCCAGAGGGCCAUGGCGACCACGGAGGAGGGCUGGCGCCACCGCGGGUCCCCUCGCCGGCGCGCGCGUCCACCGCGAGGUUGGGCGCGCCGCCGUCGAGCGGUCCUUUGGUGGUGCUGUUGCGCCCCCCCGAGCCCCGAGCGGAUGCGGCGGCGGUUCGGGUGGACUUGUUCUCCGGCGAGCCCGAGGCUCGGCUGGCCUUUGCCGCUCGCCGUCGGUGGACGUGUGGCGGUGAGGACGACAGCAGACUGGAUACUGUAGCUUCUAUGGGGCCAAAAAAACACCUAAUAAGAAAAGACAUCCCUUAUAUAGACACACCGCUUCAGUUGUAAACAACUUGGCUGGAUCUAAAACUGUACACCAUGUGAGUCAUUGUGGCAAUUCAAUGUACCACCUCUAUGCUGCAAAUCAAGUGAGCAAUUCAAUGUGCAUUAGAGAAACAACUGCGUAUGAGGAUGUCAAGGUGGAGGAAGCGAUAAGAGUGAUCGAUUGUCAACGUGAAAAAACUAUAAGAAGAUGCAUGUUGUAUAAAAUAAUUUGUUUCUUGUAUACUAUUUUAUCCAAUAUGUCUUCAGAAACUCGUAAUAAUUUCUUUCGGGCUUUUUUUUACAAUGGUUGUAAGGUACCGGUGGGAACUUCCAGGUUCUUUUUCUUCAAAUUUUUGCUGGCCCUUGGUCUGAGAAAGGUAAUCAAAAAAUUAAAUUAAAUUGGGUUCUGAUC